AUUUUUGUUCGUUCGUUUCAACUGGAGCAGUGCUCCUGCCAGCUAGUGGAAACCCACGGAUGCCAGUAAACAUCCUACCACACACAGAUGAUAAAACUGAGGCUGCAAGAAUUUAAGUGACUUGCCCAAGGACACAUCAAGACUUGAACUCAGGAAAGUCUGGCCACAAAGGCUGGCGGCUCCCUGUCCACCUGGCUGAAGGGAACAUCCCCUGUUCUAGUGUUUGGGCCUGUCCUCUCAUUCCCCAGAGGAGCCCCCUUUCCCAGAAAGGAAGAAAGCCUGAGAUUUUCCUUCCUUAGACUUGUCGUCAUCACGCACCGCCCUGCUUCCAUCUUCCCUUCAAAAAGAAAAAGAAACCAAUCUGUCAGUUUCUGGGACUUGUAGUUGACAGACAUGCCGUUUUAUUCAAUUCAUGACCUUG
rnacentral:lncRNA from 1 species